rnacentral:rRNA from 1 species
CUGAUGCAGCCAUGCCGCGUGUAUGAGAAGGCCUUCGGGUUGUAAAGUACUUUCAGCGGGGAGGAAGGGAGUGAGGCUAAUAACCUUAUUCAUUGACGUUACCCGCAGAAGAAGCACCGGCUAACUCCGUGCCAGCAGCCGCGGUAAUACGGAGGGUGCAAGCGUUAAUCGGAAUUACUGGGCGUAAAGCGCACGCAGGCGGUCUGUCAAGUCGGAUGUGAAAUCCCCGGGCUCAACCCGGGAACUGCAUUCGAAACUGGCAGGCUAGAGUCUCGUAGAGGGGGGUAGAAUUCCAGGUGUAGCGGUGAAAUGCGUAGAGAUCUGGAGGAAUACCGGUGGCGAAGGCGGCCCCCUGGACGAAGACUGACGCUCAGGUGCGAAAGCGUGGGGAGCAAACA